UACGGAGGGUGCAAACGUUGCUCGGAAUCAUUGGGCGUAAAGCGCACGUAGGCGGACUGCUAAGUCGGACGUGAAAGCCCUCGGCUUAACCGAGGAAGUGCAUUCGAAACUGGCAGUCUUGAGUACGGGAGAGGGUCGCGGAAUUCCCGGUGUAGAGGUGAAAUUCGUAGAUAUCGGGAGGAACACCAGUGGCGAAGGCGACUACCUGGCCUGUUCUUGACGCUGAGGCGCGAAAGCUAGGGGAGCAAACGGG
rnacentral:rRNA from 1 species